UGCCUAAACUUCGCGCAAGCGGAGCAUGGCAAUAAAACCCGCUACAGGGACGAGAGCUCCUCGUCAGUUUGCCUGUAGCGGGUCAUUAGCCGAAAGGUUAGUGGGGAUUCCGAAAGGAGUUCC
rnacentral:sRNA from 1 species